rnacentral:rRNA from 1 species
GACGGGGGGGGGCAAGUGUUCUUCGGAAUGACUGGGCGUAAAGGGCGCGUAGGCGGCCACCGCAAGUCAGUUGUGAAAUCUCUGGGCUUAACCCAGAAAGGUCAACUGAUACUGCGGGGCUAGAGUGCAGAAGGGGCAACUGGAAUUCUCGGUGUAGCGGUGGAAUGCGCAGAUAUCAGGAGGAACACCGAUGGCGAAGGCAGGUCACUGGGCCGCAACUGACGCUGAGGAGCGAAAGCAUGGGGGAGCGAACAGG